rnacentral:rRNA from 1 species
UACGGUGGGGGCAAGCGUUGUUCGGAAUUACUGGGCGUAAAGGGCGCGUAGGCGGCCUGCUAAGUCGGACGUGAAAUCCCUCGGCUCAACCGGAAAAGGGCCUCGGAGACUGCUCGUCUGGAGGGAGGUAGGGGCAGGUGGAACUGAUGGUGGAGCGGUGAAAUGCGUUGAUAUCAGCAGGAACGCCGGUGGCGAAAGCGACCUGCUGGACCUCUUCUGACGCUGAGGCGCGAAAGCUAGGGGAGCAAACGGG